rnacentral:tRNA from 2 species
GGGCGAUUAACUCAGUGGCUAGAGUGCUACCUUCACACGGUAGAAGUCACUGGUUCGAGUCCAGUAUCGCCCA